rnacentral:rRNA from 1 species
AGAAUCAACGCUGGCGGCGUGCCUAACACAUGCAAGUCGCACGAGAAAGGGUAGCAAUACCUGAGUACAGUGGCGCACGGGUGAGUAACACGUGAAUAAUCUACCUCCGAGUGGGGAAUAACUGAGAGAAAUCUUAGCUAAUACCGCAUAACACUUACGAGUCAAAGCAGCAAUGCGCUUGGAGAGGAGUUCGCGGCAGAUUAGUUAGUUGGCGGGGUAAUGGCCCACCAAGACGAUGAUCUGUAUCCGGCCUGAGAGGGCGCGACGGACGACGACUGGAACUGAAACACGGUCCAGACUCCUACGGGAGGCAGCAGUGGGGAAUUUUGCGCAAUGGGGGAAACCCUGACGCAGCAACGCCGCGUGGAGGAUGAAAUAUCUUGGUAUGUAAACUCCUUUCGAUGGGGAAGAUUAUGACGGUACCCAUAGAAGAAGCCCCGGCUAACUUCGUGCCAGCAGCCGC